rnacentral:rRNA from 1 species
UACGUAGGGUGCGAGCGUUGUCCGGAAUUACUGGGCGUAAAGAGCUCGUAGGUGGUUUGUCGCGUUGUUCGUGAAAACUCACAGCUUAACUGUGGGCGUGCGGCGAUACGGCAGACGUGGAGUACUGCAGGGAGACUGGAAGUUCCUGGUGUAGCGGUGGAAUGCGCAGAUAGUCAGGAGGAACACCGGUGGCGAAGGCGGGUCUCUGGGCAGUAACUGACGCUGGAGGAGCGAAAGCGUGGGGAGCGAACAGG